GGAAUAUUGGACAAUGGGCGAAAGCCUGAUCCAGCCAUGCCGCGUGUGUGAAGAAGGUCUUCGGAUUGUAAAGCACUUUAAGUUGGGAGGAAGGGCAGUUACCUAAUACGUGACUGUCUUGACGUUACCGACAGAAUAAGCACCGGCUAACUCUGUGCCAGCAGCCGCGGUAAUACAGAGGGUGCAAGCGUUAAUCGGAAUUACUGGGCGUAAAGCGCGCGUAGGUGGUUUGUUAAGUUGAAUGUGAAAUCCCCGGGCUCAACCUGGGAACUGCAUCCAAAACUGGCAAGCUAGAGUAUGGUAGAGGGUAGUGGAAUUUCCUGUGUAGCGGUGAAAUGCGUAGAUAUAGGAAGGAACACCAGUGGCGAAGGCGACUACCUGGACUGAUACUGACACUGAGGUGCGAAAGCGUGGGGAGCAAACAGGAUUAGAUACCCGAG
rnacentral:rRNA from 1 species